GAACAACUUGAUUAUAAAACUAUACAAUUAAGAGAGAUGCAUUUUCCUCUGCAUAAAACAUGUAUCAGAGUUUAUGGAAAUAGUUUUCUGAUAAUUUUGAAUGGUCUCUGAAAUUUUGAAGUUCAACUUUUUCCUUCAGUUUUAUAUACAGGUAUAAAGGCUUUCUAAGCAGAAAGAACAUAGUUUUGUUUUAGAGUUUAGUAAGAGAGGAACAGGUUUGUGUUUUAUUGCGAGUUUGGGGAAAUUUCAACCUUUGGGCAAAGUCUAAGGAAGAUGCAGCUGUAGCUUGCAGGGGAUUUAAAAAAAAAAAAUUAGUAAGGAAGUGAAAGCUGGUAAUUGUGAUGCAAACUGAGUUGCCAUUUUAAAUAGUGUUACUGUGGAUGGGAAAUAAUGGGGAAGAUGGGAUAGUAAAAAUGGGAGGAAAUAAUUGUUCAUGUACAUUAAAUUAGAAUGAACAUUGUGCAAUAUAUAAUAAUUUGAUAGUUUGAAUAGCAACAAGGUUAUAUUAAGAAACAGGAGCUUGAAAAGUUUGCAUCCAGCUGUAUCACUAAAAAUAUGAGGAGGACUGUAUAUAGGUGGGAAUUUGGUUUUCAGUCAUGGCAGUGAAGCUACCAUGAUCUUCUGCAAGUACUAGUAGGAGGCUUGCUUUUAAAUCGAUAUCUCAGUUGGGAAUAAGGAAUCCAAGGUGCUUUAUUGGCACAAACCACUUUUAGUAGAACUAGGAAUCUGGUAGUAAGCAGCAAGCCUGAUUUUUUUAAACGGUAUCUGUUUGUGUUUUUAGAUAAAUGUGAGGUAAACUGAAAUGCUUACAUAUUACGUUUCUUUUUUUCAAGGCUCAGUCUGAAGCUGAGAAGAGCAGAAACUAAGCAGAUAUAGUGUCAAAUGAUCAUGUUCUCCAGGAAAAUGGAUGGAGCUAGGCCAGAUUAUGACAGAGUUGAAUCUGAUCCUCUGUUUUUCUUUCUUUCUUUUUUCCUGUGGAGUGAAGAACAAAGCUGAAUUCCCCCUGCAGAAUAUCAAAGUGAAAGGCACAGUGCGAAAUGAGCCCUGCAGUCGGUCAUUUCAUUCCCCUUCAGAAUGAAUGAAAUUAUUUUUCAAAAUAAGAAAAAUCCUGAUCCUUUUCUCUGAAGCUAAACACAGCCUUGUGAAGUCUGGAAAACCUUCAUAACAAUGCCUUCCCCAUCCUUCCUUUCCUAUGUUCCAUGCAGAGCCGGUGCCAGACAAUAGAAAUUUGCAAUAAAACUUUACACAGAGAUUUGAAUCCUGCCCUACACAAAAUGCUCAUAGCAGCUAAAAAGUUUAUGGAAAGAACAAUGAAGGGUGAGCCACCAUCUGAACCACUAGUCAAGGAAAAAUAAAAUUCUUGUAAAAAUGUAUGUAUUUGUACACUGUAGUUUGCAAAUCUAUGUAUUGUUCUGUCUAUUUUUUAUCUGUUGGAGCUUUUUCCAUUGUUGGAUUACUUCAUAAUGAAUGAAAAAUAGAUAUAUUUGAUGAAAUUCACUUUAAGUAAUAUGACUGCAUUGAUGCUAUAAACUGCUAGAAAUGCAAAAAGAUUCAGCUGUAAAAACAUAGGUAAUUUGCAAGGAUCUCUAGCCUUUGCUGCCCUUUAAAUGUCACCAGAUCCUCUUAAACUACUGCAUCUUAGAGCUGGCUUUCCUGUGACCUUAGCAAGAACAGCAGUUUUCCUUUCUAGAAUAACAACACUUGAGAACUUGCCAGGAAAAAUUAAAAUCUGAACAGAAACAUAGGGAUCUGUAACAGAGUGCUACAUAAGGUCCCUGACGCAUGUUACACUUCAGAUGUCAUUAACUGGUUAAUCAUAUCUUAAGUAGUGGUUAAUCAUGUCUUAAGUAGUGAUCUGGCCACACAUUCAUUAAAUUAAUGCCAUGAUAAAACUAGGAAUAAGUGACAAAGUUAUUCCACAAAAUACGUGUAAUAACUGUUGGUUCUUACGUCUUAACUGAACCAUGUGGCCAAUGCUCCCAGUCCCAGAGCGCACUCCCCUGUGCUCCGUGCUCCAGAGGCUGGGAACACUGAUCAGCUGAUCGGGACUCCCAGCUGGGACAGUACAUGGUACCCCCUGCAGCCCCAUCAGUGCUUGGAGCUUCCAGCUGCAGAGCAGCACCAGGCGCUCUUGCAGCUGGGAGCUUCGUCAGCUGUGAUGUGGUAGGAAGCAUGAUUUUUGAGAUUGUGCAUUAUAUCCCAUCGUGCCUUCUUUUUUAACACCUGUCAGCGACCUCAAACAGAAUUUCCAGGUGUUUAUCUGUUAAAAAUCAAUUGAGUUAUUCCAGCUUGAUAUCUCUCACAGACAAAAUAAUGGACUAGUGUAAAGGGGAAUGCAGGAGAUAGUAAUGAGAUAUGGGACCCAGACUGAGUCAAAUCACUCCAUAAGCCUCUGUCACAGGUACAGGUGGGAGAUUUCAAAUUACAAAAUAAGUUUGACUUUCAUAAAACAGACAUCAUCUCAUACAAAAACCCUAGUGCUUGGCUCAUCAACCCCAUUAUUCGUUUGAUCCAUUCUCUACCAGAGAGCUGCAAUAGUGUCUAGUUGCUGCACUGUAUAGUAGAUCAGGAAGGUCCAAAAGUGAGAUCAACAGUGGGCAAACCAGCAGCUGAUCAGCACUUCUGUCAUGCUCAGCACAGACUGGCUCUGAGAGGCUUUGCUUGCUGUUGGGAUUUUUUUGAGCUUGCAUUACAUCAGUUACAAUGUGGAAUUGCAUUGUGUUAAUUGUCUAUGGGUUUUGUUUGUGAUUUUUAUUCGUCUGCUCUGCUGCUCAUUGCAAUGUGAAGCAAGGAAGAAGAGUGGUAGAGACUUGUAGUUUUGAUGCUGAAGCUUCCGCUUCUGCUACUACUGAUGACCUGUGGUGUGGUUUGCUGCACAUACACUUGGUGUAUUCUCAGUAUACAAAAACUUCCCAGUGGUGAAAUAUAUAAGGUUAUAAAACCAAGCCUCAUGGGAUGUGGCAGAAGCCCCAACAGGCAGGAUUUUUGUAAACAACCUGGAUGAAACAUUACAAGAAAGAGUUGGAGAAAAUGAUCUGGCAUGGACAAAGGGUUACUCACUUGGCUUCGCUGUUGACUUUGUACUGUUGCCCAGAUUCUCUCCUCUUGGAAGACUGAAUCAGUCUAAGAAUCAGCAGCAAUACUCUAUAUCAGAGGAUCUCAAACUGUGGUCUGUGUGUCAAUUUCUUCUUCUCUUCCAAUUAGUUUGUUGGAGUGUAAGCCUGUAAGCCUUCUACACAAAA